AAACCAUGCAUAGGACAUUUCCACAACAACUCCUUAAAUCAUUCCCAAGCCUCAUAUAAGCUUUCAUCAUCCAUUUUCUUGAAAGACGUUAUCUCAUUUUAAAUCU